UGCAAGACUGGUGGUGGGAACUGGCUGAGCACCACAGCACCUCAGACCUCCUGCACACUACCUGAAGAGCUUUCUGUGACUUAGUACCUUCAAAUUAACGCUAAGUGCAAACUUGGACUGCUGUCCCCGAUAGAGAAGGGCGAAAACCAAUUCUGGAGCAGGCAGGUUGCAGAGGCAGCAGGAGGAAUGCGGAGCUUUAGCACAGUCUGCAGCAGGCUGGGCUGGGCAGCAGCGCAGAGGGAGGACUUGCUUUUGAAAAAGCCAGUGGGGUUGCGUAAACAUGAUGUAUUCAGGCCUGAUUUAUCUAGAUGUAAAUUCUAAAUUAUAGAGCUGGGAUUAAAUCACAUGUAAAAAGCAAUUCCACUGUGGUCUUACACACAGAAAAUAAGUUUAUCUUAUCAUUGACCUUGCUGUACUUAGACCUACAGAAGUGCUUUGCUGAAAUACGAGGUUUGAAUAAGGUUAAUCUAGAAUAAUUGAAACAGAUAAGUGUGUAGAGCUCAGCACCCAAAGGGCUGCUAAAAACCGAGGAAAAUGGGCUCAGGCACUGCCUGAAACCAUCUAUGUUUCUGAAGCUUUCCAGGAGCUGCUCUGAACGUGGCCAGUAUGGUUUCUCUUUAAAGACAUACAGCGUUUGGGCUGCUCUCUCCUGGGUGCAGUCUUAGUGGGAAAAGAACAGGAUUUAGGGUUCCAGGAGCAAUUUGUGCGGAGUGCUGCCAUCUUAUGGCUACUCUGCUACACUGGAGUAGGGACUUUCUUGCUUCGAAACUUAAGAGGCAGAAAGGGAUUCAGAUACAAACUGCCAUACUACCCUUAAGCAAUAUUUUGCCAUGCUACGCACAUCAGAACCUUUGGAGAUGCUCUUGUAUUCGUGAGACAAUUUUUUCAUUUAUGUUAUAUUAGUUAUAACUUUUUGUUAGCAUGUUUUUUUUCAAAUUCCUGCCUCAUCUGUCACAGUAAACAGAACAUUACUUCUAGUGCCUUUGUUAUAAGCUCAGUUACAUGAUUCUGAAAUGUCAGAAAUUGUUUCUGAUAUCUUUGCCAGUAUAAAUUAUUACUAUAUUUUUCAAACCUUGCUUUAUUGCUAUGUACAUGUUUCUUAUGAAAAGAGUAGAUUUGAAAUUUAAACCAACAGUGUCCACUCACAUGUGAACAAAAACACUGGAAAAACAAUCUUAUACAGAAUGAAUGGUGCUUCUGCAAUUCUUCUUAAAGAACUGUGACGCUUGAGGAAGACUUCCUUGAAAGAAAUUACUCCUCUCUUGCAACCAGAACUGGUCCAGGCUCAGAGUUGGACAGAACAUCAUAAGCCCCAACCUGGGCAGCCUUCCUGGAGGAAGAAAUUUGUUUGACUGUACUAGGACAACUGGUAAACAUUGCCAGAAAAGUUGCAGACCAGUGUUGGGAACAGGGGAUUUCCAAAGCUGAGUCUGAAAGCCUGGACGGAGGACAGCCAAGCACAAGACAUUUGGAAGCCAGGAAAAGGUCUGAGAGGGAACAAAGCUUGCUCAAGCAGAUUUUAAGCAACCAUUUGAAGUAUUGACUGAUUUUAAUAUCCGUUUCUAAAGAAUAAGAUUAAUUGCCACUAGCUUGGCACUGUGAGACUGAAGGGGGCAAGAAGCAUCUUCCAGGGAUGAUAAGGAUCAUCAUUACAAGUUAUUUUGCCCUGGAGAGAGAGAGAAGUAUUUGUACUCCUAUUGUCUAGACGAUUCUGCUAAGGAAAGAAAAGCCUGUCUCUAUAUGACCUUAAUGAGACACCUCUGCAGAAACAGCCAGGAGGUUUUAUCAUACCAGUGUCGUUCCUAGGUAGCCUGGCAGGGGGAAGCUUCCCGUUGCAGGGGAAGCUUGCACUAAAUGAAACCUCAUUCUGAUUGGGCUCUUCCUCCCAGCUGACAAGCCUGCAGAUGGCUGAGUAUUGCCUUGUCACUGCCUCCAGGCCACCUGGGUGCCAGCGACGGAAACAAGCCCUAAAGGAGAAACCUUCCCUCAGGUUUGCACCUCUGUACCCACCAAGAGAAGGAUGAGAACUCCUGCAAGACAGCACUGAUCCAGCUCUGCUGGUUUGCUGAACUCACCGCAGCUGCUUCGGUUGUUACUGGAAAAAAGUGCUGAACAAGUGUAUGGGAAAAUCCAAUGCAUUAAUUUGAGUUUUCUUAUGUAUAGGAUACCAGAAAACAAGUUGGAUGGCAGUUUUGAAUGCUGUUGAGAUGCUGACCAGGUCACAGAAAUCUGAUUGAAGGGGCAUAUUCCUAUCUUUCUAAACUUUCAGAAAGAAAUGUUGCUAAUGACAGGACAGUCUUCCUGUGAGUUGUCCCAAGCUCCUUCACUCCUAACAGAUAAUGUGAAUGUUUUAGUUAAAGCUAUGACAGAGAAAUAGGUCAGGACCACUGUAUCAUUAUCCUUUCAUAGCAUACUUCAGCAAGCUGAUGCAGAUUGCUAAGUUGAUGAGCUGUAUCAACAUUGUAAGCCACAUCGUGUAUCAGGCUGAAAGCAUUAAAGGCUUAUGUUAAAUUGUAACAUAGGUCAAGUCACUCCAAAUUAUUCAGUCAUUCAGAAUUAUUAUGAAAAGUACAACUAACAAGGGUAUUGAUUUCUUCUGUUUUCAAUGUGGCACCUGAACAAGGGUUCUUAUGACAGAAAACGUCAUGUAGGAAUGGUUCAGACAUUUAGAGCAAAAAAAAACUAUAUCUGCGUUUUAUUGAAGACCUUGCCAUAGCUUUCUUAGAACUAAAUCUUUGACAACUUUAUUCGGGGAAAGCCAGUUAAGACCAUUAAGUAUGGUACAAAAAAAGAAUGUGUAUAUAUACUAAAAAAACAACCUUUUUAAAAAGUUGUCCUCCAUAUCUUGCAAAAAGAGAACAGAUAGUGUUCAAGUUGAAUGCUAUUUUACUCAGUUCUUCUCUUUUUUACUAUUUAUUGGAAUUGUCCACUGAAUUUUCUUACAAAGGUAUUCUACUGUAAAAUUAUUUUGGGUUAGGUUUCAACCAUAAAUUCAGUCAUGAAAGUGACUUUCUGUAUUGAAUAGUCUUUGAAUUUACCUGCACUAAUGAGGACUGUAUGUCCUACAAAUUGUAGUAUUUACAUGAUCUUAUAUACUUUGGACGAUAUAUUGUCAUGAUUCAUUAUUCUUUAUCUGUUUUUAUUCUUGCUGAUUUUGCUUCUUUUAUAGCUCACCGCUGCCUAGACCAACGCACAGCUCCUUAUAAACACAAGAUUAAUCAUACCUAGACAUGCAAACUCAGCUGGGCAAAUAGGGGAUGGCGUCUUGCGAGUGACUUCAUUAACUGCUGACAGCAGACAGACUGCGCUGCGCUGGGAGUGAAAGGGAAACACUCAUCAGAUGGCCCCAGCCACAACUGAGGAAAUGCACAGAAGAGAUAACUGGCAAGUGUGGUGCUUUCCUCACUGUUCAGUAGUAGUUAGACACAUCCCUAGAUGUAAUG